UGUUCUGAAGAUUCACAUUUGGUGUUCUUCUCUGAGUUAUAGCUCUCAUCCUGGCAAUUGCUGGGUCCCUCCCACUCUCCCACUUCGCCUGCAUCAGAAGCGUUCUGUUCCCUCUGCUUCAUCUGCGGCCCGGGAGUGGUGUAGAGCAAGGCGCACGCUGCAGAGUGGGCUCGGCUGCCCCGGUGCUCCUUCCCUGCCUUUGUCUUCCGGUGGACUAGCUCAGCCUCAUUCUCACUUCCUUUUCUGCUCUACUGAUCAAAGCAGUCACAAGACCAGCCUGGUACUCAGAAGGGCAUUUGGCUUCUGGUAAAGAUGGUGGAUAGAUAAGAGCAAAAUACAGAGGUUCCCUGAGACAGACAACUCAGAUGCUGAAAUAACACAUCAUGGGAAGUCCCGGACAGAAGGAUAUGGAUCCUCUUGACCUAGAAAGAAACUAAAGCAAAAAGAACCAGUCAAACAUGCAGUCCUGGGGCAGCUAAGAUUCCGUGCUCUCAUGUGCCAGAAUUCCCACCACUUCGACUCACUGGAACCGCAGUCACACUGAAGUGCAGCUGCACUGACAUCAGAGGUUGGCAAGCCCAAUGGAGAAUGGAGCCAGCAAGGGACCUGUACUGACCUGCGGUGAGUGCCAGGAAUAAAACCCUUCCGUGGGGAAGGGGCACAGAUGAGAAGACAUUUUGGAAUUGGGCACGACUGCCAAGAUCAAGGAACAGCAGUGUUCAGUCAGUUGUUCCCUUCCAAAAUGAGAUUGGUGGGGUAUACUUGGCCUGGGUCAUGCCCCUGGCUGAGACCAAAUUAGUUCUCCCAAACCAAUUCCCUAUGCACAGCACACACUAAUGCAGUGAAGACCUCAGCAGGUUGACUGACCUGGAGAGGAGGAGCCAGCAUAUGCUGCCCCUGUUUGCACCACAAUAACACACUGGAGUGGGCAGGAUUAUCUAGCCAGAGCACUUAAGAAGAACCAUAACCAACAAGGAAAGGGACUGGGACCUCCUCUAUAUGCCUGUAUGGAAGAAACCAAAAACAUGAGAAGAGGAAGCAACAAGAAAAAGUCCUCAGCUCCUAUCCCUGAGAACAUUGAUCCACGAGAGGUAAAUACAAAAGAGAUUGAGGACAGCAAACAUGCAAUAUCAGACACAGCAUCAGUGGACAUUAAGAGACAUCUUUGGGACCUCAUAGAUGAGUUCAAAAGUGAAAUAUUUAACCAAGUAAAGCAAGAUGUAAGUAGACUAAUAAAAGAAAUGCUAAGCACCUCUCAAGAAGACACAGAUAGAAGAAUGGAGGAGCACAAAAAAGGGAGAGAAACAUUUGAUGAAGAAUAUAAAGAAAACAUAGAAUACAUGAAGCAGGUUCAGAGAGAUUACCAGGAAAUAAAAAACUCCAUUGAAAGCUGGCAAAACUGCUUGAAAGAAACUAAGGACAGAUUAUCCAAACUGGAAAACAGGUUUGCAAUGUGUAAUCAUGAAAGGAAAAA